GAAAUGCGAUAAGUAAUGUGAAUUGCAGAAUUCAGUGAAUCAUCGAAUCUUUGAACGCACAUUGCGCCCGCCAGUAUUCUGGCGGGCAUGCCUGUUCGAGCGUCAUUUCAUUUAUCAAGUCCCCGGGCUUGUGUUGGGAUCCUGCGGCCGCCCUCAGCUCCCUAAAUAUAGUGGCGGGCUCGCUGUCAUACCGAGCGCAGUAGCGUAACUCGCUCUGGGCGUGGCGGCGGGUUCCGGCCGUGAAACUCUAUUUCUCAAGGUUGACCUCGGAUCAGGUAGGAAUACCCGCUGAACUUAA
rnacentral:misc_RNA from 1 species